GACAGAGGGUGCAAACGUUUGUUCGGAAUUACUGGGCGUAAAGCGCGUGUAGGCUGCUUCGCAAGUCGGAUGUGAAAAGCCCUGGGCUCAACCCAGGAAGUGCGCGAGAUACUGGUGGGCUGGAGUGACGGAGAGGAUGGCGGAAUACCCGGUGUAGAGGUGAAAUUCGUAGAUAUCUGGAGGAACACCGGUGGCGAAGGCGGCAUCCUGGACCAAUACUGACGCUGAGGAGCGAAAAGCCAGGGGGAGCAAAACGGGG
rnacentral:rRNA from 1 species